GACGAACGCUGGCGGCGGGCCUAAUACAUGCAAGUCGAACGCAGUGGGGACGGGUGAGUAACACGUGGGUAACCUCCCAUCAGAGGGGAUAACACUUGGAAACAGGUGCUAAACCGAUACUGAUGGAUGGACCCGCGUUGCAUUAGCUAGUUGGUGAGGUAACGGCUCACCAAGGCAACGAUGCAUAGCGGGCCUGGGAGGGUGAUCGGGCACACUGGGACUGAGACACGGCCCAGACUCCUACGGGAGGCAGCAGUGGGGAAUAUGGGGCAAUGGACGAAAGUCUGACCGAGCAACGCCGCGUGAGUGAAGAAGGUUUUCGGAUCGUAAAUCUCUGUUGUUUGAGAGGCGGUAUCUAACCAGAAAGCAACGGCUAACUACGUGACAGCAGCCGCGGUAAUAC
rnacentral:rRNA from 1 species